CCGAGCUACCUGUUUGUACAAAAAAAUAUGUCGUUAUAUUUUUUUGUUUCACCCCUCCAAAAAUAUGAAAAAAAAGAUUACGCAAAUACGCCAAUUAAUAACAGCAGAGUCGAAGAAGAAAAAGAAGCCGAGCAAGAAAUAAAGGUGAGGUGAAAAAGACAGCCCGCAGGUCGUCAUUUCGGGUGACUUGGAGGACUUCGCCGGUGAGGUUCAGAAACCGGCCAACCACAGGCGGAACUCGGCGGAAGUCCAGGAUCCUAACACAAAAACCGUCAUUCCGCAAGGGGGCACUCGAGCGGAAAAGGUAAGAAUGAGAUCGGUGGAAUAUAUGUGCUGAGGAAGUGACUUUUACCAGUAUGUUGUUUUUUUUUUUUUUUAACUGGCCCUGUUGGCGUUGCGCCAGUGUUAGCACUGUGCUAGCGUGUUGCUGCUGUGCUACUGCCGUGUUGCAGUGAUUUUUACCAGUAUGUUUUUUUGUUUUUUUUUACUGGACCUGUUACCGCUGUGCUAGCGUGUUGCUGCUGUGUUACUGCCCCACAUCCCAGUGAUUUUUUUUAAACCGGCCCUGUUAGCACUGC